rnacentral:misc_RNA from 1 species
GAACGCAUAUUGCACUCUCUGGUUUUCCAGGAGUAUGCCUGUUUGAGGGUCAGUUAAAUAAAAAUCGGGGUUGUUGCUGCUUUUUGUGGUGACGCUUCGGAAUUGGGUCGUCUUUGCCUUUGGUUAAGUGACCUAAAAUUUAAUAUGAUUUUCGAACGUAUUUAAAUCAUUUUACGUACGUUUGUGAUAAUCGAAUAUUAGGUGUGAUCAUUCUCAUGAUUUGCGCCCAUAAUUUUUCAUCAAUUGACCUCAAAUCAGGUAAGAGUACCCGCUGAACUUA